UGCAGCUUCUAACUCCAUUUUCUAGCACAACUAAAUUGUAGGAGAGAGAAGGAAAAAUCUCUCUUUCUUUCCUUUAUUUUCUAUUUCUACUCCACCAUCACUAGCACUUGAAUUGUCAACUUCAAAUCUCCAGUUUUAAGGCUAAAAGGUUUUUAUUGAUCUUUAUGCCUCCAAGCUCACCAAGGCUUUUUCUCUGGCAUGGGAGCUCUAUGAGGAAACCUAGGGGGAAAAUUUGACUUAGAUGCUGAUGAAGACCCUUGGUUGUUAGUCCAUGAGAAAUUCGAAUGAUUCCUCCAACUAGGAUUAUAAGUGUUGGAAUAGGGAUUGUUGUUCUACUACUUAUUUCCCAGAAAUUGACAAGAUUCAAAAUAUAUGGAACAAUUGUGAUUGGAAUGUCA